rnacentral:misc_RNA from 1 species
UGAUUUUUUUUUUUUUUAUUUUAUUGAGUUGUUUAGAGUUGUUGGAGUUGCUAGGGUGUUGGGUGCACAUUAAAGGUCCUUAAGGAGUGCUUAAUUUGUUACAAUUGUGUGCAAAUUUGGCUUGUUUCAAUAAUUGGCUGAAUUGCAUCAUUGUUAUUAUUCUGAUUGUUAUUUCUUUGUUGAUUGUAACUCUUUAAGGCACAUCAUUAUUUUAUUUAACCAAAGUCUUCAUUGAAUCAUGGCCUCUCCUUUUCUUUGCUACUACUACCUAAAUCAGGUUCACCCUUCUGCACCAAUAGACUAAUACAAAAAGAAGUGAUGAUAGAGAAGAGAAACAUGUAGGGUACAUAGAAGGAAUCACUUCCCAUAAAUUUUCACAUCAUUGGUUUAUGAAACUUAUUUCAUUUUCUUUAUGCCAGUCAACAAGGGCAGAGCCAGAAAAUUAGGUUAGUGGAGUCAAAAAAAUUUUAUUUUACUCGAUUCAAAAGAAAAAUAUUAUGUAUAAUAAUAAACUAUCUACUAAAAGAGAAAAAAGACAUAAUGCAUGCAAAUUUUCAAUAUAUAAUAAUUAUAGAGUAAAAAAGAAAAAUAAUUUCAUAAAAUAAUAAAUUCUCGCUAUAAUUUUAAAUUUAUCCUCAAAAUAUAAAUAUUAUUGCAAAUAAUUUCAAAGAAUAAUAAAUUCUUCCUUAAUCUUACCAUUUGCCUCCCAAAGUAUAACAUAGAGUCGAUAUGACUAUUAGUGUCGCCAUUACCUACCAACAUUAUUUUAAAUAAUUACAGCUUAUAUUAUAAAAUGGAUUAUUGGCUUCCCGCUAAUUUUAAAAUUUUGUAGAGUUUUAUCUAUGAAAACAAUUUUAAAAACAUAAUUAGAAGAAACAAAACAAACAAACAAACA